rnacentral:rRNA from 1 species
CGAUAGCUAAGACCGGAUAACUGGUUUUCUCGCAUGAGAGAAUUAUGAAACACGGAGCAAUCUGUGGCUGAUAGAUGGGCCUGCGGCGCAUUAGCUAGUUGGUGGGGUAACGGCUCACCAAGGCGACGAUGCGUAGCCGACCUGAGAGGGUGAACGGCCACACUGGGACUGAGACACGGCCCAGACUCCUACGGGAGGCAGCAGUAGGGAAUCUUCCGCAAUGGACGCAAGUCUGACGGAGCAACGCCGCGUGAGUGAUGAAGGUUUUCGGAUCGUAAAGCUCUGUUGCCCUAGACGAACAGCAUGAGGAGUAACUGCCUUGUGUGUGACGGUAUAGGAGAAGAAAGCCCCGGCUAACUACGUGCCAGCAGCCGCGGUAAUACGUAGGGGGCAAGCGUUGUCCGGAAUUAUUGGGCGUAAAGCGCGCGCAGGCGGUUGAUUAAGUUGGGUGUUUAAGCCCGGGGCUCAACCCCGGUUCGCAUCCAAAACUGGUUGACUUGAGUGUAGGAGAGGAAAAGUGGAAUUCCACGUGUAGCGGUGAAAUGCGUAGAGAUGUGGAGGAACACCAGUGGCGAAGGCGACUUUCUGGCCUAUAAACUGACGCUG